UAUCACUAAUUUAUCGCUUUAACGAAUGAUUUAGAACUUGGUUACACAGUCAUACAGUUUCUGCCUUCCCUCUAUCAUCUGACUUGAGGUAAUUUUAGUUUCACCUCUCAGUUUUGCUUCUGCCAGUACAUAGUUCACUACAGUCCAAUCAGUAGAUGCUUAUAUUCUGUAGGAGAAGUUCGUGAAUAAUUAUUUUAUCCUCGGAUAAUAAAAAUACUUAAUAUACAUCAAUAAACGGGAACAUAUACUAAUCAAUUGUGCAUCUAUUCUGAUAAAACAGCAAACAUGGAUAUGGACACAGCAAGAAAACUAGUACUGACUUUAAAACAAAGCCACACAUCCCAUGGUGGAUAUGGUUUGCAAAAUGAGUGUGAAGCACUUGUUGGUCAUAUUUUGGAGAACAUGUUGAAAUCGUCACUACCCACUUUAGUUCCUGAAACGAAAAACGAAGAAGAUUCUAUUAGUUAUAGAGAAGAAGGAAAUCAACAUUUUGUGAUGGGUGAUGAUACUGAAGCCAUAAAGUAUUAUACAAUGAGUCUAGCGUAUGCAAAUACUAAAGAACUUAUGUCUCAUGCCCAUGCUAACAGAUCAGCAGCUUUAUACAGAAAACAACUGUUCAAAGAGUGUUUGAUAGAUAUUGAUACUGCUUUGGAUUUUGGAUACCCAGAAGAAAAAAGGAAGAAGCUGAAGGAAAGAGGGGUGAAAGCUAUGGACGAAAUUAGAAAGAAAUUGAAAAUCGCGAAGGAUGAUCCCAUUGAUCCAGAAAAAUUAAUGAGCAUGUGUUUGUCAGAAAAAAUUGUAGACGAACCUGUAACUGUAAAAUUCAAAAAUGGAAAAGCUGAGAAUCAAGAUAAAUCUAUAAAUGGGCAUAUUAAUGGAAAUGAGGAAGAUCCAGUUAAUGGUUCUACUGUUCCACCAAGUAAAGAAAAAGAACCAAGAUAUUUAGCAGAUGAAGGUCCUUUAAAGUUCACUAAUGGUCCUAGUAAAGAAGCUCCUGCUGUUAGCGACGGCGUCAAAAUUUCUUAUAAUGAAAGAUAUGGACGUCAUUUGGAGGCUACUAAAGAAUUUAAACCUGGCGAUGUUGUUUCUUUCGAAGAUCCAUAUGCGCAUAUUAUUUAUACGCAAAAAUAUUAUACGCAUUGUCAUCAUUGCCUGUCAAGAAGCUACAAUUUAAUUUCAUGUCCAAAUUGUCCAAUGUCUGUAUAUUGCUCAGAAAAAUGUAGAUCAAUAGCUUGGGAUAUAGCACAUGAAUUUGAGUGUCCAAUUCUAUCAGUUCUAGGAAGCUUGUUCAAUGUUGACAAAGAUAAAGUGCGAAUGCUUACCAAAAUUGUUCGUUUUCUGAUUGUAGUAACAGCAAAAGGCAAAAGGAUCGCAGAGUUGCGCGAAGACAUGAAAGUAGCAGAGCGUAAUCCAGAUGAUAGAACUGCAGGGUUUACAGAUGAAGGUAUAUUUGACAGCUACAGUGCACGAUCUGCUUUAAGCCUCGCAACCAACAUGACAACAAGACCACUUAUUGGAAUCAGUGCAUUUGCCUGCAUCUCAGCCCUUGCCUCUAUCCUCCUAGCCACAGAGACUAAUUUCUUCUGCAAGAAAUACGAAAUGGUUCAAUUAAAUGACAUUAAUAAUGUGCCCGAGCUAAAAUUCUGUGGCAGCCUCAUGUUUCGUGCCUGUGUCAUAAUGUCUUCUAAUUGCUUCACAAUACAACAAGAGCCAGGAAUUAAAGCCGGUUCUGGGUUGUACGUAACACAUAGCUUGUACAAUCAUUCAUGUGCACCAAACACUUUCCGUCAUUUUGAAGGAUUGACAAUGAUUACUCGUGCUCUGGAACCAAUAUAUCCUGGAGAUCAGAUAUUCACUGGCUAUGGUGCUGCAUAUGCACAUAUGCCAAGAUCUGAAAGAAGAGAAAAAAUAAUGCAGGACUAUUUCUUCGAGUGCAAUUGUUCUGCCUGUGAGUCUGACUGGCCAAUGUAUAACGAAAUUCUUGCAAACCACGUUGGUUCCAUCAGCAAGAACAAAGAACUCGUAGAGAAACUGAAACCAUACAAACAGAGAUUGGUGAAGAACAUGUACGACAUUGAUGCUGUGAAAUCUGUUCUCUGCAUUCUAUACAAGGAAGUAUCUCAACCUUGUGAGGAAAUAGUGCACGCAGAACAAUACCUGAAGAGUUAUUAUUUAGGUAGAUUUAAUCACAUGUCCACAUAAUACGUAUUUACGCCUAUUUAUGCUGAUAUAGCUUUGCUUACCUGCUGAUAUUUAAUAUUAUGCUUACUUACAUCCUGCAAACCACAUUUAAUAAUAUUAGGUAUAUUUCACUUUGUGCACUGAUUUGUUUUGUCGCCUGAUAACAUAAUGGAGCUACCUUGGUGCUUAAAGCUUAUAGCGCUUUGUAAUAUGAAUGUAAAAAUUAUAUAGUUUGUUGCAAAGAUCCAUGAGAGCAAGGCAUCAACAUUUUACUAAGUUGUUAAUAAAAGACAUAAAGUAUUCCUAAAAACAUUUUAUUGAAGUUAUACAUGAUGUUCGUCUAAUUUUUGAAAUAAAGAAUGUGCAAAACUUUCUUCAUGUAAUACAUUUGUAUGAAUAAACUGAUUGAAAGUUAUGUAAUAAUACAAGAUUCAUGUAACAUA